AAAAAUCCUUUUAGAAAAAGCUCCCAUCUCCUUUAUUCUCCAGCCAGGGGCCGAUCAUCGGCCGGUCACCGCGCUGGCCGCCGAUCUCCGGCGUCGGCACCGCUGUCUGCGGUGGCCGGAAAGAGGUAAAAUCUCCAAUUUGGCCCUCUCGGCCCUUCCAAGCCCAAAUAUGGGUUCAAAAUCUCCGAAAAACCAGCAGAAAACACGAAGAGAACCCGAAACCUUUCGGUUUCUGGCCACCGAUCCUCAGGGGUGGCUCCUUUGAUCCUCCCACGACGAGACAGACCCGAACACAGGUGUUUUCAAACCUUUUUCUAUCUUUUGUUUUAUUCUCUUUUAUUUACUUGUAAUAAAAUACGAAAAAAGAAAAUAAAAAAAACAAUAGUUCGAAAAGAGUUUCAACCUUUUGAUUUUCCGAUUGCUCUUUGCUCUUUCUGGUAUUCUCUGUUUGUAUUGUGAAAUAUUCGCUAUCCUUUUUAAUUGAUCUUUUUUGAAUCCCUAUUACAGUGUUACAAUGGCCAUCUUAUAGCCAUAAUGAGAAGAAUAAAAAGAAAUAAAAUCUGUUCAUAUUUGAUUUUGUUUCCUUUCUUGUGUUUGUUCCUUGCAGGUGAAUAUUCGGCUCUUGGCUACGGCGCGAGCGGGCUAGGUGGCUACGGCACUGAUGAACUCCAUAGAAACCCUAGGGUUUCGUUGUUUGUUUUGGGCCACUUGUAUUUGGGCCUCUGAAAAAAUCGAGUCUGGAUUUGGGCCACUGCUUUUGUAUUUUGGGCCUUGUAUUCUGGGUCGACUGAAAUUUGUAAAUGGACUAUUGCAUUUAGACUUUUGGUUUUAAUGGCCCCGGGGAAAAAAUUAGGUAUUACAACAUCUUUACCAUUUCCGUC
rnacentral:lncRNA from 1 species